GCCUGAUUAGCUCAGUCGGUAGAGCAUGAGACUUUUAAUCUCAGGGUCAUGGGUUCGAGCCCCAUAUUAGGCU